GCCUCGGUAGUUUAAAGACUUAGAACGCUCGUAUAGAAUGCAGGAGAUUCGGGUUCGACUCCCAGCCGAGGUA
rnacentral:tRNA from 1 species